UCAAUAUCCACACCAUUAAAUUAAGAGCUGCUUCUUAAAAUCUAAUUAUGAUUUUAGAAUCAAACGUCAAAUUUUUAUUUUAAUUUAAAUUCAAUGUUUAAAUUUAAAUUUAACUUUAAAUUUUAAUUUUCAAAUUUAUUUUUAAAUUUUUAAAUUUUAAACUUUAAAUUUUAAAAAAUAGAUUUCAAACUUUAAAUAUUAAAUUUUAAUUUUAAAUAUCAAAUCUAAAAUUUUAAAUUUCAAAUUUCAAAUUUUAGAUUAAAUUUAAAUUUUAACAUUUUAGAUUUUAAAAUUUAAAUUUUAAAAUUUAAAAAUUUUAAAAUUUAAAUUACAAGUUUUAAUCUUCAAAUUAUAAAUUUCAAAUUUUUAAAAUUUAAAAUAAAUAUUUUUAAAUUUUAAAUUUAAAUAUUAAAAUUUUAAAUAUUAAAAUUUUAAAUUUUAUAUUUUAAAUUUAAUAAUUAUGUUAUAUUUUAAAUUUCAUAAUUAUUUUAAAUUUAAAUUUUCAAUUUUUAAUUUUUAAAUUUCAAAUUUUAAAUUUUAAAUUUUAAAUUUAAAUUUAUAUUUUUAAAUAUUAAAAUUUUAUAUUUUUAAUUUCAUAAUUAUNAAAUUAAAUUUAUAUUUAUAUUUUUAAAAUUUUAAAUUUUAAAUUUUAAAUUUUUUAAAUUAAAAUAUCUAAUUUUAAAUUUUGUAUAAUUUUAAAAUUUUAAAAUUUUAAUUUUAAUUCAAAUUUAAAUUUAGAUUUUAAAUUAUUUUAAAAUAAAAUUUAAUAAAAAUAUUAAUUUAUACAAACAUCAAAAAAAUUUUGCCAAAUAGAUUUUCAAAAUCACUUCAAAAAAAUCGCUUUUGUCUAAACUCAGCAAAACGCUCUACAGCAUUUAGCCAAAAUAACUUCUCCAAACUAUGGGCCUCUUUGGCCUAACUUCUGGAGAAGUGAUUUAUGUAAAAGUGAUUUUGGUUUGGAGAAAGAUUUGGAGAAUUGAUUUUGGUGAAAAGCUGUAGAGCGUUUGGUUGAAUUUAGAAAAAAAUGAUUGUUCUGAACUGAUUUUCUAAAGCUGUUUGGCAAAAAAUUUUUGAUGUUUGCAUAUAUUAAUAUUUUUACUAAAUUUUAUUUUAAAAUAAUUUAAAAUUUCAAUUUAAAUUAAAAUUUUAAAUUUAAUUAAAAGUAUAAUUUUUAAGUUUCAAACUUGUACAAAAAUAAAUUUGAAAUUUCAAAAUUUUAAAUUUAAAAUCUAAAUUUUAAAAUCUAAAUUUAAAUUUUCAAAUUUAAAAUUUAAAAUAUAAAAUUUAAAAUUUAAAAUAUAAAAUUUAAAAUUUAAAAUUUAAAAUUUAAAAUUUAAAAUUUAAAAUUUAAAAUUUAAAAUUUAAAAUUUAAAAUUUAAAAUUUAAAAUUUAAAAUUUAAAAUUUUUAAAUUUAAAAUUUAAAAUUUAAAAUUUAAAAUUUAAAAUUUAAAAUUUAAAAUUUAAAAUUUAAAAUUUUGAAAUUUAAAAUUUAAAUUUUAAAAUUUCAAAUUUUGAGAUUUGAAACUUAAAUUUUAAAUUUUAAAUGUAAAUUUUAAAUUUUAAAUUUGAAAAGUUGAGAUUUAAAAAUUCAAAUAUGAAUUUAAAAUUUCAAAAUUUAAAUUUAAUGUUAAAUUUAUACUUUGAAUCUAAAAUAAAAAUAAAAGUUAGAAGUUCGAGUUCAAAAUCAGAAUCAGUUUUGGAGAAGCAGCUUUUUUUUGCUUCUGAUUCUGGAGCCUUCAAAAUCAGUUUUCUGAUUCUAAAAAGCAGAAUCAGAUUUUCAGAAUGUUAUUCUCAAACACUCUACUGAGCUCAAAAGUAAUUUUGGGCUUAGAAUCACUUUUGAAUAGCUAGGCCAAACACCCCCUAAAAUUACUUUUUCAGAAAUCACUUUUUUAGAAGCUAGGCCAAACGGGCCCACUAUUCACUUCAACCUGAAUCCGCCAAACCGAAUCGGACUCGUUUACAAAUUUAAAAUUAAAAUUUUUUGAAUAAAUUAAUUUAACUAAUUUUUUUGAUAAUUAAGUAUAGUACUUAAGUAUCCACAUGUUCCGGUGGGUCGAUUUGUAAGAGAAGACGAAGAAGGAAGCAACAACGAUGAUAAAAAAAAAAAAAAAACAGUAAACGCAUAAUAAAAAGUAUUAUAAAAAAAUAAAAAAUAAAAAAUAAAAGAUGAAUACAAAUCAAAAGUGUCAUCAGUUACAAGUAUA
rnacentral:lncRNA from 1 species